rnacentral:ribozyme from 1 species
UCGCUUCUACAUCCGGUGUGUCUCCUGCUGCGCCGAGGUAUGUAUACGAAC